rnacentral:rRNA from 1 species
GCCGGAGGGAAACCGAGUCUUAAUUGGGCGUUAAGUUGCAGGGUAUAGACCCGAAACCCGGUGAUCUAGCCAUGGGCAGGUUGAAGGUUGGGUAACACUAACUGGAGGACCGAACCGACUAAUGUUGAAAAAUUAGCGGAUGACCUGUGGCUGGGGGUGAAAGGCCAAUCAAACCGGGAGAUAGCUGGUUCUCCCCGAAAGCUAUUUAGGUAGCGCCUCGUGAAUUCAUCUCCGGGGGUAGAGCACUGUUUCGGCUAGGGGGCCAUCCCGGCUUACCAACCCGAUGCAAACUGCGAAUACCGGAGAAUGUUAUCACGGGAGACACACGGCGGGUGCUAACGUCCGUCGUGAAGAGGGAAACAACCCAGACCGCCAGCUAAGGUCCCAAAGUCAUGGUUAAGUGGGAAACGAUGUGGGAAGGCCCAGACAGCCAGGAUGUUGGCUUAGAAGCAGCCAUCAUUUAAAGAAAGCGUAAUAGCUCACUGGUCGAGUCGGCCUGCGCGGAAGAUGUAACGGGGCUAAACCAUGCACCGAAGCUGCGGCAGCGAACGUAUCACUUAAAGCGAUUCAGCGGGUUACGAUUGACGGAGCGAAGCGACGUCAAA